CGGGUUCCAGAUCUCCACCGUCGCCGCUCUAUGGAUGGUUCCGAAAAGACUCUUCUUGAAUCCAUGGAACUUGAUGAAUCAAUUGUCGGAUAGAAGUUCUUAAUUGUCCAUUCAUUCUCAAUUCUAAAUAACCAAAAUACAGUUUAUUUAUGUAUUCAUACUAAUUGCAUAUGUAAAACAAAGUUUUUAUCUUAUUUUGCUUAUUUUGUAUUUACAAUAUCACUUUGUAUAUCAAAUAGUUUGUAUUUAGAUUUGAUUUUGUAUUCGUCCUAAUG
rnacentral:lncRNA from 1 species